AUUAUUUAUAAGCUAUUAAACUUUUUUAUUUUGUUUAUUUUUAAGGUUGUGUAAAUUGUACUGUCUUGAAUUUUAUCUAUGUAAUCUACAAUUAUUUUAAGGAUUCUAAUUUUUCAUCUAUUAGACACAGAGUCUCUGGUUUAAUUCCUAGAUCCUUGAUCCACUUUGAGUUGAGUUUGGUGCAUGGUGAGAGGUAAGGGUUUAAUUUCAUUUUGUUGCAUAUGUAUUUCCAGUUUUCCUAGCACCAUUUUUUGCAUAGGCUAUCUUUUCUCCAGUGCAUGUUUUUGGCGCCUUUGUCUAAAAUAAGAUAAUUGUGAUUUUGUGGGUUAGUCUCUGUGUCUUCUAUUCUGUACCAUUGGUCUACCAGUCUGUUUUGGUGCCAAUGCCAUGCUGUUUUUGUUACCAUUCCUUUGUAGUAUAGAAGAAAAAGUAGGCCCUAAUCUUCAUCAUGUGGGAUUAGGCCCCAACUUUCUAUAAGACUCCUAUAUCACAAGAAUUAAAACCAAGAAUCAAUAAAUAGGAUUGACUCAAACUAAAAAGUUUCUUCUCAGCAAAAGAAGCAAUCUGUGAGGUGAAUAGAGAGCCUACAUCUUGGGAGCAAAUUUUUACUCCUCACACAUAAGACAGAGCACUAAACUCUAAGAUAUAUAAAGAACUCAAAAAGCUAAGCCCCCCCAAAACAAAUAACCCGAUCAAUAAAUUGGCCAAGGAUCUGAAUAGACACUUCUCUGAAGAAGAUGUACAAUCAAUCCACAAAUAUAUAAAAAAAUGUUCAUCAUCUCUAGCAAUCAAAACUACUCUAAGAUAUCAUUUCACUCCAGUCACAAUGGCAACUAUUAUGAAGACAAACAACAAUAAGUGUUGGCAAGGAUGAGGGGGAAAAGGCACACUCAUACAUUGCUGGUGCAACUGCAAAUUGGUGCAGCCACUAUGGAAAGCAGUAUGGAGAUUCCUUGGAAAACUGUGAAUGGAACCACCAUUUGACCCAGCUAUCCCUCUUUUUGGUGUAUACUCAAAGGACUUAAAAACAGCAUACUACAGGGACACAGCCACAUCAGUGUUUAUAGCAGCACAAUUCACAAUAGCUAAACUGUGGAACCAACCUAGAUGCCCUUCAGUAGACGAAUGGAUUAAAAAAUGUGAUGUAUAUACACAAUAGAAUAUUACUCAGUAAUAAAAGAGAAUAAAAUCAUGGCAUCUUCAGGUAAAUGGAUGGCAUAGGAGAAGAUAAUGCUAAGUGAAGUUAGCCAAUCCCCCCCCCCCAAAAAAAAAUGCCAAAUGUUUUCUCUGAUAUAAGGUGACUGAUUCAUAGUGGGGUAGGGAGGGGGAGCAUGGAGGAAUAGAUGAAC
rnacentral:lncRNA from 1 species